AUUGAACGCUGGCGGCAGGCCUAACACAUGCAAGUCGAGCGGUUGAAGGCAGCUUGCUCCUGGCUUCUGCCGCGCGCGGGAGUGUAAUGCCUAGGAAUCUGCCUGGGAGUGGGGGAUAACAUCGGGAGACGUGCGCUAAUCCCGCAUACGCUCUGGGGGAGAAAGUGGGGGCUCUUCGCACUUCUCGCUAUCACAUCAGUCUAGCUGGGUUUGGCUAGUGGUGGGGUAAAGGCCUACCAAGGCGACGAUCCGUAACUGGUCUGAGAGGAUGAUCAGUCACACUGGGACUGAGACACGGUCCAGACUCCUACGGGAGGCAGCAGUGGGGAAUAUUGGACAAUGGGCGAAAGCCUGAUCCAGCCAUGCCGCGUGUGUGAAGAAGGUCUUCGGAUUGUAAACCGCUUUUGGACGGGAGGAAGGGGAGUUAGCUAAUACCUUGCGGUGAUGACGUUACCAUCAGAAUAAGCACCGGCUAACUACGUG
rnacentral:rRNA from 1 species